AGUGAACGCUGGCGGUAGGCCUAACACAUGCAAGUCGAACGGCAGCACAGUAAGAGCUUGCUCUUACGGGUGGCGAGUGGCGGACGGGUGAGGAAUACAUCGGAAUCUACUUUUUCGUGGGGGAUAACGUAGGGAAACUUACGCUAAUACCGCAUACGACCUACGGGUGAAAGCAGGGGAUCUUCGGACCUUGCGCGAUUGAAUGAGCCGAUGUCGGAUUAGCUAGUUGGCGGGGUAAAGGCCCACCAAGGCGACGAUCCGUAGCUGGUCUGAGAGGAUGAUCAGCCACACUGGAACUGAGACACGGUCCAGACUCCUACGGGAGGCAGCAGUGGGGAAUAUUGGACAAUGGGCGCAAGCUUGAUCCAGCCAUACCGCGUGGGUGAAGAAGGCCUUCGGGUUGUAAAGCCCUUUUGUUGGGAAAGAAAAGCAGCAGGUUAAUACCCCGCCGUUCUGACGGUACCCAAAGAAUAAGCACCGGCUAACUUCGUG
rnacentral:rRNA from 1 species